AGCAGCAAUGGGCAGAAAGUCACAGGAGCAAAAGGAUCUGCACCGGAGACAGGUCCUUCCAGCUGGAGCCUCACUGCGCAUGUCUCUAAGCUACAACCGCUAGGCCCCGUCCACACUCUGCAGGUUGUAGUGCUGAUCAACAGCUCAGGCCAGAGGAAAUGAGCGACACCGAACCUGAAUUAAAGGAACAUUUCUGAAAUGCUGGCGUUCGGGACAUCACAACAAACAGCUGCCGCCGACAAGGGCCCACUCCGGACGCCAGAGUGCCGGCACCUUAACUGUGUGUGUGUUCAGUAUCUUGAUCGCUCCUCAGAAGUUUCAGAAGAACUAUGUCCAUGCCAUGGGCUGACUGACGCCUGGGGUCCCCUCAGUCUUCCCAUUAAACUACAACCGGUGCCAGCCAGAUGGCUCAGCCAGUAAGGAAGCUUGCAGUCAAGCCUGAGCUGAAUCCCUGGGACCCAUACGAUAGAAAACCAGGACUGAACCUCCACAUGACAGACAUCCUGGCAUGUACAAGCUACCCACCCACCCCCCCACACACACACACAAAUAAAAAUUAAAUACAUGUUAAAAAGUUUA